CAAGAUGGCGGCGCCGCGCCCGGAGCCCCGCCCCUUUGCCGGGCGCUUCCGGAGCGGCCCCACGUGUGUGUGCGCGCGCACGCAGUGGGGCUAGAGCGGAGGGGGGCUCGCUACUCCCAGCCGAGCCACCCGCCGCCGCGGCCAUGAGCGGGGCCGGCGGGGGCGCUCGGCGCUCCCAGGCCUUCCGGCUGCCGGGGCGACACGGCUACGCGGUGGAGUUCUCGCCCUACCUGCCCGGGCGCCUGGCCUGCGCCGCCGCGCAGUACUACGGGAUCGCCGGUUGUGGAACUCUAGCAGUGCUGGAACAAAAUGAAGUUGGGAUUUGUCUUUUCAGGAGUUUUGACUGGAAUGAUGGCCUGUUUGAUGUGACAUGGAGUGAGAACAAUGAACACGUGCUGGUCACUUCUAGUGGGGAUGGAUCUCUGCAGAUCUGGGACACUGCUAAACCAACAGGUCCGCUGCAAGUCUAUAAAGAGCACACUCAGGAGGUUUACAGUGUUGACUGGAGCCAAACCAGAGGAGAACAGCUAGUGGUGUCUGGUUCAUGGGAUCAAACUGCCAAACUGUGGGACCCAACUGUGGGGCGGUCAUUAUGCACUUUUAAAGGCCAUGAGGGCAUCAUUUACAGCACUAUAUGGUCUCCGCACAUCCCAGGCUGUUUUGCAUCUGCUUCAGGUGAUCAGACUUUAAGAAUUUGGGAUGUGAAGACACCAGGAGUCAAAGUAGUGAUUCCAGGGCACCAGGCUGAGAUCUUGAGCUGUGACUGGUGCAAAUAUGAUGAGAAUUUGCUGGUAACUGGUGCGGUUGACUGUAGUUUGAAAGGUUGGGAUUUGAGGAAUGUACGGCAGCCAGUAUUCAACCUUGUUGGCCAUACCUAUGCUGUAAGGAGAGUAAAAUUUUCACCAUUUCAUGCAACUUUAUUGGCCUCCUGCUCCUAUGAUUUUACUGUGAGAUUCUGGGACUUUUCCAAGCCUAACCCCUUGCUGGAGACUGUGGAGCAUCAUACAGAGUUUACAUGUGGACUAGAUUUAAGCCUUCACAACCAUGGUCAGGGUGUAAAGUACCUCAAAUAACUAAGCAGUUGCAACCAAUUAAGGAAAUACCACAAAUGAGCAGUAACCAUAAAAUGGGACAACUACAGUGUGUAUCAUACAAAAUGAAGUUUGAUUUCUAAAUUUCUAGUGGCAGACUGUGCUUGGGAUGAAUUAGUGAAGAGCUAUACGCCAUCAUGUCUGGCAGCUCCUGUGUAGAGAACACCACUUUGUCCAGUGAAGAAAGAGAGCUGACUUGGUGGGAAGCUUUCUCUGCUCCCAGGAAACUCAACUCAUACUAGAUGUGUCAAUAAUGUGGCUUUAAUCCUCAUGUCUCCUUUUUAAAUACGAUCUGUAGUUUUAACUGAAGAUGUUAUGCAUUUGAGGAUACAUUUUCAGUGAAGUAUGUUGGGGACCCAUAUUAAGGAUGGUUCAACUGUACACCCAGUGCUUAAGGCAGCAAAAUAAUGCUUGGAUGAUCAAAGGCUGGCGGGGCAGACAUUUUGCUGGGGGCAGAGCCAGGCAGAUUUGUCUUUGGGGAGUUACAUGGGUAAACGUCUUAACAGUGGGAGAUGUGAAUCAAAUUUCCUAAUCCUGAUCAAGAAUAAAGACAAAUGGCAAUUUAUUUUGAGAUACUGGCGCUAUUUUAAAAAAAAGAGGGGAGACGUGUUUACUGUAAAAUAAUGCAGCAUCAACUUGAGGCUUGUGUCACUCAGUUGAUUUGAUAUUGAUACCUUUUGCUCCAAAUUCGUGUCACAUUAUUUUCUUAUGUAAUAUGAUGAAUACUGUUGAUAGACGGUUAAUGUCAUCAUACAUUAUAACAAGCUGCUUCCUUUGACCUUUUUGUUCACUGUUUCGUGAUGGCAGAAAAGAUUAUUUCCAUUAAGUCUUUUUUUUUUUUUUCCCCCAUGUGUUUUCAGAUAAAAUGUUUGAUGGAGGGUCAUACCAAAAGAAAUUCUGUUUUAGAUUAUGCUCAGAAAUCACAAAAUAGAGACAGAUUGUGAUGGGAAAUCUUCAAAAGAAUUAAGCAUUCUUUUUUUAAUGCUUAUCCAAACUUCUUUGAGGCUCUCACACAGACAUUGUACUCCGUCACACCCCUUUGCCGUCAGAGACUCCUUCACAGGGCCCCCCACUUUCGGCAGCCUCUUUGCAGGGCCCUAACUACUACUGAACUCAAUGUUGUAUGCUCCUGGGUAGUGUAUCCCAGAGUUGAUGAGAUUUGCAUUAAGCCAUGGCCAAAUGUCAGAGGGUGCCGAAUCUGCUGGAGCAUUGGAAGAUACGGGGUGGAGAGAGAGCAUUCAGAGAUGAGGAACUGGAUCUUAUUUAAGAGUUCCAGGUAAAGGAGGAAUGUGUCCUAUUUUAGCGAUAGGAACCAGGGGCUACUGGACAGCCAUGCACAGAGAGCUGUGCCUAGAUUAGGAGGCAAGGUGAAAUAUUAAAUUCUUUUCCACUUCUGAGAUGUGUGGAUUCUGCAUGGUGGUGUUUUUUUUUUUUAAUCAGGUGAUCUGUUCCUGCAUACCAAGCCCUGUAGCUGAAUUAGAAACAAAAGUUUUGAUUGUGAGGUAUUAUAAAAUAUGACAUAGAUUUUAAAAUCAUUAUGAUGCUUUUUCAUUUUAGGUGCUAAGAAAUAAUACAACCAUAAAUCUUUGCUGCUUAUAGCUUUUAUUAGUACCAUGGGCCAUAAAACCCACGCCUAUGCAUUAAAAUUGAUUAUUUUUAACCUUAACA